AGAGUUUGAUCAUGGCUCGAGGAUGAACGCUGGCGGCGUGCUUAACACAUGCAAGUCGAACGAGGAAUGAGAUGAAGUUUUCGGAUGGAUUCUUAUUCCGAGUGGCGGACGGGUGAGUAACGCGUGGGUAACCUGCCCUGUACAGGGGGAUAACAGUUGGAAACGACUGUUAAUACCGCAUAAGACCACAGUGCCACAUGGCACAGGGGUAAAAACUCCGGUGGUACAGGAUGGACCCGCGUCCAAUUAGAUAGUUGGUGAGGUAACGGCCCACCAAGUCGACGAUUGGUAGCCGAUCUGAGAGGACGAACGGCCACAUUGGGACUGAGACACGGCCCAAACUCC
rnacentral:rRNA from 1 species